rnacentral:misc_RNA from 1 species
GAUGAAGAACGCAGCGAAAUGCGAUACUUGGUGUGAAUUGCAGAAUCCCGUGAACCAUCGAGUCUUUGAACGCAAGUUGCGCCCGAAGCCAUUAGGCCGAGGGCACGCCUGCCUUGGUGUCACACGUCGUUGCCCCCCCAUCUACUCCUUCGGGAUUGCGGGGGGCGGAUGAUGGCCUCCCGUGCGCCUCGUCGCGCGGUUGGCAUAAAUGCCAAGUCCUCGGCGACGCACGCCACGACAAUCGGUGGUUGCGAAACCUCGGUUGCCCGUCGUGUGCGGUCGUCGCGCAUCGAGGGCUCGAAAAAAUUGCCGGGCUCCGGCUCGGCUUUCAACGCGACCCCAGGUCAGGCGGGGUUACCCGCUGAAUUUAAGCAUAUCAAUAAGCGGAGGA